ensembl:snRNA U6 U6 spliceosomal RNA
AUGCUCGUUUCGGCAGCACAUAUACUAAAAUUGGAAGGAUGCAGAGAACACUGCAGUGUCCCCUGCUGCAAGGAUGACAUGCAAUUACUUCCAUUAAAACAUUUAAAAAUUUUU